rnacentral:pre_miRNA from 1 species
UUUUUAGGAUAAGUAUAUCCCAUGUGAUGUCUGGGAUAUACUUACCCUAAAA